AGGAACAUCCAUUACUUGGUCAGCCUUUCUUUGUACUUCAUCCCUGCCGGACAAAUGAAUUUAUGUCUUCAAUAUUAUCCAAUUUACAUAAACAAAAAAAGCAUACAAACUACAUUAUUUCAUGGUUGAGUAUUGUUGGCCCAGUUGUGGGUCUCCAUCUGCCUUUGAGUUAUGCAAAAGCCAAUUUGGAAGAGACUACAGGUGCUGAUUAAAGAGAUUAUGGACAGAAAAAUAUGGAUUUGGAGUGAAAUAUAAAGUGUCACAAGCCUUAUAAUUUAACUUAUACUUGGAGCUAAGGAUAAUACAACAAUGGAGACCAUGUUGCAUUGAUAUAGUGUGAUGAACAUCCAGUUUACAAAGAAGUUUUCAUUUCAAUCAGAAUACAUGAUGCCAUCGGGAUACAAAUAUUGAUUCAUAUUAUAAUUUCCUUGACUAUGAUAAGUGGGUAAAAAGACAUCCUCCCCAAAACAAGUAAGAGGACUAUAUUGGAACAACAUCUGGGCCAGUGCUUCAAAUCAUAGAAAGCAAUUGCCAAAGAUAUCUGAAACCAGCAACAGUUACAAUCAUUUCUCUAUCUCGACUGCUGUUGAAGCUUAUGCAAAUUAAUGAAAAGGAAUAAUUUGUGUGCAGGACUCAUGAGCAAAGCUGAUAACAUAACUUUCUUCUUUUGAAGAUUUAGUAUGAAAUGUAAUCAUACAGAAUGUUAAGAGGCUAGUGCACACAUAAGGAAAACUACUAUUGGCUACAGCUUCUAUUUAUAAGCAUUAUAAUAUAUUAAAGGCUAAUAUUUAUAUGACUUAUGACCAAUUUUAUGUCAUGGUGGCAAUUUUAUUUUUUUUCAAGUGUCUUUCCUAUUCCUGUGGAAAUGAGGAACUUUGGUAUAACAAUGCAGUAAGGGAUGCUGCUUUCACCAACUUAUAAUUUAUGGUCCAUUAAUCAAAUAUCUUAGCCUGGAUCCCAUAUCAGAAAUAACCCAGACCAGGAGGAAAGUGUCCAAGGGGUCAAAAUUGGCUUUGAAAAGAGUCCAUUACUGUGUCUGGAUGUCAUUCUCAUAAAUAAAAUGGCAGCUGCUUUCACACCU